rnacentral:rRNA from 1 species
UACGGGGGGGGCAAGCGUUGUUCGGAAUUACUGGGCGUAAAGGGCGCGUAGGCGGCCUUCUAAGUCGGACGUGAAAUCCCUCGGCUUAACCGAGGAACUGCGUCCGAUACUGAAAGGCUUGAAUCCGGGAGAGGGAUGUGGAAUUCCAGGUGUAGCGGUGAAAUGCGUAGAUAUCUGGAGGAACACCGGUGGCGAAGGCGGCUUCCUGGACCGACACUGACGCUGAGGCGCGAAAGCUAGGGGAGCAAACGGG